CCACGAAACACUUAGACUUUGGGUGGUUAGAGCAAUUUUUUUCUACGCAUCGUUAAAAAAUUUUUGUCAAAAAUCGAACGGUACCAAAACCAAAGAAAUCGGACGUUUUGUUGGAAAGUUAUGAUUUUCUUUUUCUUUUUUGGUACUUAGAUUUUACGUAUUUUCUGAAUUUUUUGAAAUUGAGUUUUUGUUCAAUCUUUUUGAAAUUUGAGUGCUGACUUAUAAAUGCCAUGACGAGUUAUAAAGGUUCUAUGGUCAAAAUGCCUAGGAUCAUUAUUUACCCCGUAAUCGGGGUGCGAAAAUAGUUGAAAAUUGAAUCACUUGUUUUUUUGUAUACACAUACGUUUCUUUGUGGUAUACCCCCGUAUAUCGAUUUAACGAAUUAUAUUUUUGAACUUUUUACUCGUUUUAGGUUUGUUCGCGUUUCAACGUUUGGCAAUUACGCCAUCAGCAUAAAAAAUAAUUUAUUUAGAAGUAAUUUUUCAUCAAAUCACAUCGAUAAUACAUUUAUUUAAUGUUUAUACCCCUCGUUUAUAUAAGCAAUUUCGUUGUAUAUAUGAGAUACGACCAUCAUUUUUAAAAUGUACAACGCAGUCAGUCGAUCACUCGAUCGUAAGCCAUACAAUUUUUAAUAAGUCGUUUUACUCUAACACUAUAUUUUAUGAUCCUUCAUUAAGUAAAACUUAAUUAACUAUUCAGUAUUCGACUCGCAAUCAAUAAAUUAAAUUCAUCAACCAAAAUUGUGUUGAUAUUUGAUUUUCAUUCCUUAAGAAGAACCGACUAGGUACCAAACAAUAAAUUAAACAACCGUACAAGAUCUGACUGGAACGGGAUAUAACAGUGUUAUAUAUCAACUAGGUACCUAGGUAUCAAUAAUUGUUCAUAUAACUGAUGAACUUUGAAUUUCAAUCAUCAAAAUUAACGAUAUAUACUCCUAAAAAAUGCUUAUAAUUAAAUGUAUAUUGUUGUGAAUGUAUAAUAAUAAUAUGACAAGUCUCAAAAUGUAUUAACGCUGAACAAUAGGUAUAGUAAAUUACAAAAUGACAAGUGUAAUAUUAUGUUUUCUAUUCAAAAAUUUGUCAUUGUUCGUUUGUAGAUGAGGUUAAUCCCACAUAGAAGAAUGAUAAAUGGUGAAAUCUAAAGUUUAUCGAUAGAGAAUUUUAUGCAGAUUCCAUUUAAAUGGUCAGUGUAAUGAAUUUUUCAGUAGUUAAAUAGAUAACUUUCAAAAAGCAUAAAAAAGCCAAAAAACAAUACAAAAUUAGCUUUAUCAAUAUUAUCAUAUAUUAUACAUUAAGAUAAUGAAUUAUUAAUUAGUAUAACCAUGGUUUUAGUUUUAUAAGGUUACCACUUCGAAUGUCUGAUAAACAAUUGCGGUUAUGUUCAAUUUUUACGUAAAUAAUAAUUAUACGUUAAUUUGAUAAUUUGUAUUUUUUUAAUUUUACUUUUUAGUAUUUACGUUCUAAGUAAUUAGUUUUUGUAUAAUUAAAUAAUAUGUUCUUUACCCUGUAGAGUAUACAAAUUACAGAUUUAAACAGUUCUCUUUAGAUGUGGUCUUCAUCAGUCAUUCUUAUAGUCAUUGGAAACAACCGGUACAAUGUAUCGAUAAAUAAUUGAAACCAUUGCAAAAAACAAGUUAAAUUCAUGCUAUCUACAACAUUCAUAUUCAAAUCUUCAUAACUUAAAUCAUUUAGCAAGAUACACUAACUGAAGUAUACAUGUAUCCAGGCCAAUAAGGAGAUUAUUCUGUUUGGAAAAACAUCUGAAAAAACUGUUCCUACUAACAUAAUUGUUUAUCCGUUUGCAAAGAAGAGAUUCCAGAUAAAUUAAUAUAAUAGUGACUAACAUGGACUACUCAAAAAAGAUGUGUUGUUCGCAUACAAACUAAUCGCUAUCCAGCAAGCUGUCAAUAUUACUCUAUUGAUAAAUAUCUGACAAUUGAUUAUCAAAUAAAGUUUGUCGGUUUAAAUGAAAUAAAAGAAAACUUGAUACAAAUAUUAUUGUGACAAUUAAUAUUAUUUUUUUUUACUUUAACUCCUUAUAAGGUGUAAAAGGCUUUUAUUUAUUGACUUUUUAAUGUGUCAACAAACUAAUUAAUUUUAUUAUUAUUUUUACACUAUUUAAAUCAAAUUUCAUCUAUAAAAACAAAAAAAUUGAAAUAGUGACUUCUUGUAUUAUGGAUAUUUACAUUC